AUUGAACGCUGGCGGCAUGCCUUACACAUGCAAGUCGAACGGCAGCACGGGAGCAAUCCUGGUGGCGAGUGGCGAACGGGUGAGUAAUAUAUCGGAACGUGCCCGGUCGUGGGGAUAACGUAGCGAAAGCUACGCUAAUACCGCAUACGAUCUACGGAUGAAAGCGGGGGAUCGCAAGACCUCGCGCGAUUGGAGCGGCCGAUAUCAGAUUAGGUAGUUGGUGAGGUAAGGCUCACCAAGCCGACGAUCUGUAGCUGGUCUGAGAGGACGACCAGCCACACUGGGACUGAGACACGGCCCAGACUCCUACGGGAGGCAGCAGUGGGGAAUUUUGGACAAUGGGCGCAAGCCUGAUCCAGCAAUGCCGCGUGCAGGAUGAAGGCCUUCGGUUGGUAACUAGCUUUGUUACGGUAACGAACGGUAGAGC
rnacentral:rRNA from 1 species